GACAGUUUGGCCGAGUGGUCUAAGGCGCUGGCUUAAGGCGCCAGAUCGAAAGGUCGUGGGUUCGAACCCCACAGCUGUCA
rnacentral:tRNA from 1 species